AGAGUUUGAUCAUGGCUCAGGAUGAACGCUAGCGGGAGGCCUAACACAUGCAAGCCGAGCGGUAUUUGUCCUUCGGGACGGAGAGAGCGGCGUACGGGUGCGGAACACGUGUGCAACCUGCCUUUAUCUGGGGGAUAGCCUUUCGAAAGGAAGAUUAAUACCCCAUAACAUAUGAUACGGCAUCGUAUUAUAUUGAAAACUCCGGUGGAUAGAGAUGGGCACGCGCAAGAUUAGAUAGUUGGUGAGGUAACGGCUCACCAAGUCAGUGAUCUUUAGGGGGCCUGAGAGGGUGAUCCCCCACACUGGUACUGAGACACGGACCAGACUCCUACGGGAGGCAGCAGUGAGGAAUAUUGGACAAUGGGUGAGAGCCUGAUCCAGCCAUCCCGCGUGAAGGACUAAGGCCCUAUGGGUUGUAAACUUCUUUUAUACUGGGAUAAACCUACUUACGUGUAAGUAGCUGAAGGUACAGUAUGAAUAAGCACCGGCUAACUCCGUGCCAGCAGCCGCGGUAAUACGGAGGGUGCAAGCGUUAUCCGGAUUUAUUGGGUUUAAAGGGUCCGUAGGCGGAUCCGUAAGUCAGUGGUGAAAUCUCAUAGCUUAACUAUGAAACUGCCAUUGAUACUGCGGGUCUUGAGUGAGAUUGAGGUAGCUGGAAUAAGUAGUGUAGCGGUGAAAUGCAUAGAUAUUACUUAGAACACCAAUUGCGAAGGCAGGUUACCAAGUCUUAACU
rnacentral:rRNA from 2 species